rnacentral:rRNA from 1 species
UUGGGUCGUGUUAUAAAUGCUCUGGCUAAACCUAUUGAUGGGAGAGGCGAAAUUGUAGCUUCCGAAUCUCGCUUAAUUGAAUCUCCUGCUCCAAGUAGAAUUUCCAGGCGUUCCGUAUAUGAACCUCUUCAAACAGGGCUUAUUGCUAUCGAUUCGAUGAUCCCUAUAGGGCGCGGUCAGCGAGAGUUCAUUAUUGGGGACAGACAGACUGGCAAAACAGCAGUAGCCACAGAUACAAUUCUCAAGAAAAAAGGGCAAGAUGUAAGAAGAACGAGAGCGAGCCUUCACGAAAUAAAAUGA